CACCGGCACAGGCCGGAGACGCCGGCGGCUCGCGGCUGCUGUCUGUCGCGAUCGCCGCCGGUUCGCUCGCGGCGCUGGUGGC
rnacentral:tRNA from 1 species